UUGCUUGACUUGUUGCAGGGAGCAAUAAUGGGGCCACUGAUCACAACAGUUGUAAUUGCUCUGAAAAAUUUGUAUGUUGAGUUUGUAUUGGAAGGACAGAAGGAGGAAAGUAAAUAGGAAAUGAUGUUUGGAAUGUUUAUCAACUCUGUAAUGGGGUUGAUGUUUGGCUUGUGCGCACAACUCUGCAGAUACCACACCACCAUGAAGAUGCCUCGCGCAACCACAUUUGACGUCAUUGUUCAUGUUAUAGCUGUGUGAGUAAUACAUACCAUG
rnacentral:lncRNA from 1 species